UAGCGCGCCAAAUGCCCAAAAUAUCUGAAAACCAUCAAGUGCGAAAAUCAAGGGAGGUAACUUCAGCUGUGAAAAUUUCUCUGUACUUCUUUCAUUCGAAACCCGAACUCGAAAGUAAGGAGACUGGUGUUGGGUAUAAAAUACCCCCAGCCGAAGUUUGUAAAAGGCCGACCCUUCCAGGACUUUUCCGGCUUCCGACCUUGUGUGGCAUCUUUCUGAACUCCCUCGACCGUCCGAGCUUCUAUAAUGGCAUCCGGGCUUCUCCAAUCAUGAGCUUCUCCAUUCAUCUACCAGAUUGCUCCA
rnacentral:lncRNA from 1 species